AGUCGAGGGGCAGCGGGGGAGUGGCAACACUUCCGCCGGCGACCGGCGCACGGGUGAGUAACACGUAUGAAACCUGCCCGCAGCAGGGGGAUAAGCGGAAGAAAUUCCGUCUAAUACCGCGUAACAACCGACGGGGGCAUCCCUGUUGGUUCAAAGGAGCGAUCCGGCUGCGGAUGGUCAUGCGGCGCAUUAGCUAGUUGGCGGGGCAACGGCCCACCAAGGCGACGAUGCGUAGGGGUUCUGAGAGGAAGGUCCCCCACACUGGUACUGAGACACGGACCAGACUCCUACGGGAGGCAGCAGUGAGGAAUAUUGGUCAAUGGCCGAGAGGCUGAACCAGCCAAGUCGCGUGAGGGAUGACGGCCCUACGGGUUGUAAACCUCUUUUGCCGGGGAGCAAAGAGCGGGACGCGUCCCGCCUCGAGAGUACCCGGAGAAAAAGCAUCGGCUAACUCCGUGCCAGCAGCCGCGGUAAUACGGAGGAUGCGAGCGUUAUCCGGAUUUAUUGGGUUUAAAGGGUGCGCAGGCGGAAGCGCAAGUCAGCGGUAAAAUUGAGAGGCUCAACCUCUUCCCGCCGUUGAAACUGCGUUUCUUGAGUGGGCGAGAAGUACGCGGAAUGCGUGGUGUAGCGGUGAAAU
rnacentral:rRNA from 1 species